AGGAAACAUGGAUCAGAAUACCAAUUCUUCUAAGUUUUGUCUUGCUUUCUUCAUGUUCUUCCUCCUGGCAAACACUGGUGGUGAGUUGUUAAUUUGUAGCUUACAGUUUUAAUUAUAGAAUAUAUAUUAAGCAGAGAUCACUUUGUUGUGUUUCAAUUUUUGAGGGCUGUGUAUAUUUUUAAUUUCCUUUGUCAAAACUAUCAUUUGACAGACUGUUGUUAUAUACAGUUGCAUUCUUUGUAGGUUGGGGAAUUUUAGAUGACAAUUCAUUGUGGUUUGUCUUAUAUUAUUUAUAUGUCGAGAUCCGCUUCUUGAAAAUUUCCUCCUUCAUUCCUACUAAAAUUCAAAAUUACGUUAUUUUGAAUAUAGAUUUAGGUUUUACUUAAAUUUCAAAUAUUUGUAGUUUUGAAUUCAAUAAGAAUAGAUUUUUAUGUUAAGUUAUAACCAAUUCAAUACUCGAGUAAUGUGUGAUUAGUAUUCUAACGCACCCUCCACGAUCUUUAGAUCUGUCACAUGUAGACUUUUUUCCAAGCAAUAUCGUACUCGUAGAAUCGUAUUCUAAUACUCCUGCUCACUUUCAAAGUAUUUUUUAGAUCAAUCAAGUGUAUACUUUUUUAUUGUAUUUAUCAUUAUGAGAUCAAAAAAUCAACCUAUGAAACAAUCUUGUUUGCCUACUCAGAGUCACACACACACAAAUUAAUCGUGGGAGUAGUUGAGAUCAAAAAUACCCAAAAAUCCGAAUUCCGAAACAAUCCCGCUCCCCACUCGAGAGUCAAUCCCCACAUAAGAUCAAAAAUACGACAUCCAAAACAAUCUCAUUUCCUUACUUAAAGAUCCAAAUUUCGAAAACAAUCCCA
rnacentral:lncRNA from 1 species